CCUACGGGGGGCUGCAGUGGGGAAUAUUGGACAAUGGGGGGAACCCUGAUCCAGCCAUGCCGCGUGUGUGAAGAAGGCCCUCGGGUUGUAAAGCACUUUCAGUGAGGAAGAACGCCUGGUGGUUAAUACCCAUCAGGAAAGACAUCACUCACAGAAGAAGCACCGGCUAACUCCGUGCCAGCAGCCGCGGUAAUACGGAGGGUGCGAGCGUUAAUCGGAAUUACUGGGCGUAAAGCGCGCGUAGGUGGCUUGAUAAGCCGGUUGUGAAAGCCCCGGGCUCAACCUGGGAACGGCAUCCGGAACUGUGAAGCUAGAGUGCAGGAGAGGAAGGUAGAAUUCCCGGUGUAGCGGUGAAAUGCGUAGAGAUCGGGAGGAAUACCAGUGGCGAAGGCGGCCUUCUGGACUGACACUGACACUGAGGUGCGAAAGCGUGGGUAGCAAACAGGAUUAGAUACCCGAGUAGUC
rnacentral:rRNA from 1 species